rnacentral:rRNA from 1 species
CUACGGGACGCUGCAGUGAGGAAUAUUGCACAAUGGGGGGAACCCUGAUGCAGCAACGCCGCGUGGAGGAUGACGCAUUUCGGUGUGUAAACUCCUUUUAUAUGUCAAGAAAAUGACGGUAGCAUAUGAAUAAGCACCGGCUAACUCCGUGCCAGCAGCCGCGGUAAUACGGAGGGUGCAAGCGUUACUCGGAAUCACUGGGCGUAAAGGAUGCGUAGGCGGGGUUGGAAAGUCAGGUGUGAAAUCCUACAGCUUAACUGUAGAACUGCACUUGAAACUUCUAAUCUAGAGUAUGGGAGGGGGAGAUGGAAUUAGUGGUGUAGGGGUAAAAUCCGUAGAUAUCACUAGGAAUACCUAAAGCGAAGGCGAUCUACUAGAACAUUAUUGACGCUGAGACGCGAAAGCGUGGGGAGCAAACAGGAUUAGAUACCCCAGUAGUC